GUGGGGAAUAUUGGGCAAUGGGCGCAAGCCUGACCCAGCAACGCCGCGUGAAGGAAGAAGGCUUUCGGGUUGUAAACUUCUUUUACCAGGGACGAAACAAAUGACGGUACCUGGUGAAUAAGCCACGACUAACUACGUGCCAGCAGCCGCGGUAAUACGUAGGUGGCGAGCGUUAUCCGGAUUUAUUGGGUGUAAAGGGCGUGUAGGCGGGACAGCAAGUCAGAUGUGAAAACCAGAGGCUCAACCUCUGGCCUGCAUUUGAAACUGUUGUUCUUGAGUGUCGGAGAGGUAAUCGGAAUUCCGUGUGUAGCGGUGAAAUGCGUAGAUAUACGGAGGAACACCAGUGGCGAAGGCGGAUUACUGGACGAUAACUGACGCUGAGGCGCGAAAGCGUGGGGAGCAAACAGGAUUAGAAACCCGGGUAGUCC
rnacentral:rRNA from 1 species